CUCAGGUUCUCAGAGACCAGAAGACUCUUGGCAUCCCCCUGCAGCUCGGUGAAGAGGAUCUCCCUCUCGGCCGCGUUGGACGCCAUUGCGCUGGGGUUUGAAGUCCGCACCUGGACGCUGCCGCCGCCGCCGCCGGGGAGGGGAGCGAGGGAGGCGGGUCCGGGGCCGGGACUAAGGGCGCAUCGGGGGCGGGGGGAGCGCUCGGCACUGAGGCAGGGGGACGCGGGAGGGGCCGCCGCCGCCCCCCUACCGCUCAUGGGGGUCGCGCCGGGCGCUGGGCCGCGGUGCGGUGCGAUGCCGCCGUGCGCUCCCCCGCCCUGUCGCGGCGCUCGGCCCUGGCAGCGCUCGGCCGCCGCGGCUGCUGCUCCUGCGGCCGCCGCGGAUGUCGCACCAUUUGGCUGUCACCCUGUCGCAAAAGCGGCGCUGCUUUGCGGCACCCGGAGCACGUGACAGUUGGAGGGAAGGGCGGGGGGGGAAUGCGGGGGCGGAGGGGUGCCGGCUGCUGCCAGUGAACCUCUGCUCCCUUGCAGGCAGAGCGGCGCGCUCCGCUCAGCGGCGCUCCACACAGCAGCGCUCCCCUCAGCCCCCGGCUUCCCGCCGCCUCCCUCCUGCGUUUCCUCCUCCCGUGAAUCUCCGGUUCCCAGAGUCCCGUUGUUUCCCUCAGCGAUGGCUGGGGGAGGACGGCGCGUGGCAAACCCCUGAUGCUGAGGGUCUCUGGGGCUCGGCCAGCCGCUGCUGAGGGCAGCUGAAACCCCCCGGCCGCUUGUAGCUGGCCCGAGCCCGGCUGCCUCGCGGCCGCAGGGAAGGCAUCCACGCGCCACCCUGGGACCGGGAGCGGCGGGCCGGCAGGUUACGGCGAGCGGGGGCGGCGAACGCGGUUCCCCGAAGCGUAAAAGGGCUGAGCGACAGCGUGCGGGUGCCGGGUGAGUUCGGGGGCCGGCAGUGCCCGCUGAGUCCCCAGAGAGCUCUGAGAGCUUCGAGGGCAACGCCUGUGAGGAAGUGGUGCCUCUUCCCUCGGCGGCACGCGGCACCCGCUUUGAUUCUCGGUUUCCUGCCUGCGUGUUGUUCCACCUGUUCAUAAACGCUUUUGCUGCCUGUUCUGUACACACACGUGCAUUCGCAUUCCACCCUCAUUUCAGACGUUACGGUAGGCUAAUUGAGCUCAUGCAAAACGCUACGUGGAGGUAAUUAAAACUGUUUUUUUCCUAUGCCGUUCCUGCCAGGCUUGUACAAGUUGAGGUAUUUUCGAUAGGUACAUCUUCAUGCAAGUGUUUGUGCUUGCUGCACUCAUUUCAGUGCAUUGCUGUGUGGCUGCAGGCCCAUCAUAGUCUGUUUGCUGUAGAACUGCAGGUUCAAUUACAGAGGGCACUUUGUGGAGGGAAAAACAGAACAGAAGUCAUCAAAAAGAAGCAAACAAUUUACUACAAGCAAAUCUGAAACAUUCUGUGUUCUUACGCUUCCACUGAGCACCAGACAAACUCAACCACCUCAAGUGCUGCCUGUCAUGCAGUGCAGGAGAAGCCUAUGGAUGUCUUCAUGAGUUAGUUUUACAUAAAAGCAAAAUUAAGAUAUUUCUGCCCUCACAGUGCACUUCUAUACACAAGUGAGAUAUUUUCCACUAUGUUAAGAUUUUUCAUAAGCUUGCACACGUACAGAUCUCCAUGCAGACUUAGUUCACUGGAAGCCAAUGGCUUUAAUUUCUGUUUUGUGUGGCCAGGCAAUUGUAGGCUGGAAUGAAGAGCAGAAAGUAGAGAAGAGGAAAACUUUACCUGCCAGUUGUCCAACAGUCAUAGACAAAGAAUACUGAAAACAUUCAUAAAUCAGGGAAAAGAGUUUUAAAGCAGUGUCACACUGGUCUUCCUCACUGCUUGCUGUCAUGUACAUCAAGUGUCACAGGUGAAGAUACACCAUCCCAGGCUAAAUUGGGAAUUGUCUCAGUAAUGGGGUUAGCACUUGAAUAAAAGCGUAGAGGUGUGUGCCUUCUGCGAUGAAUGGAAAUUACUCACAUGCAGUUUGGGUUCUUGAGUUAUUUUUUACUUACAUUGCAGUUUCAAUCUACAGAAGGAAUUCUAACUCAGAAAGUCAUGUAGGUCAUAUUUCUGACUCUUGGCACCACAAACAUCUUUAUGUAGUCAAGACCCUCAAGGUACAUUACUCAAAUCUUAGGUAUAAAGAAGAAUUUCAGAAGUUGUUCAUACAGCACAAUUGUGAGAAAGGCUAUGUGGGACAGUCCUACUUAUUCUACGUUCACCAUACAUUCAUGUUUUUUUUUUUUUUUUUUGGAAAUACCAUAACCAGUGUUUCAGUUAUCCAGUGAAAUCUGUGCUAGCAUAGCUUUGUUGUAACUCAUAUGAAGUGGUCAUAAGUUGGCAGGCAGAAGUCAAAAAGCUUGGUGAAGUUUUGGGUGCAUUGUGGAACAAGGUGGGGGAGUAAGGAAAGACAAUUAUACAAUAAUUUAAUCUUUUAGAGCAUGCUAGAAUGAUGCCAAACUUUAGAUUUUUUUUUUUUGAGAACAAGUGUUUGAAGAUGUAUACAAGUAAUCAGAAAUUACUGUAUGUUAGUCACUUCAUAUACAUGGUCCCUUACUGCUGCUCAUCUACUGGCCUGCUGCUAUUGCAGAGGAAGAGGAAAAGUCUAUGUGUGUGCUUUGUAAGGUGUGGUCAGAAGGAAACAGAAAACCCAGAGAAAACUUGUAGCUGUAUGAGCAGGUGUCAACAGUUAGCUGAACUCUGAAACAGGCAGCUGAUUUAAUUCAUACUCAACCUAGACUAACCAUUGAGUGAAGGCUACACAUAGGCCCUGUCUUGACAGGGAUAACUAUAAGCUUUUUUGUAUUCCCUGUGUAAUUUAUACAACUUGUAAGGACAAGGUCCUGGAUUCUUUGAUAGAAGCGUAUUGGUACAAGAAUUGAAAAACAAAACAUUGUUAGCUACAUCUCUGAUAGUUAAAUCAUUCUUCCUCCAGAUUCUGGAAAAUACAAGGCAGUGCUGGACAACUGUAGCUCUACAUUUAAGUACUCUGACAGUGAAUUACUGAGCAAGAGAGAACAUUCCAAGUGAGUCUCAAAAUAGAAAGCAGCUAAGUACGUAAGUCCAUGAAUUUAGCAUUAUAUGGAAUCCUGAGUUCAGCCCUUGCCUUAAGAUGUCUGAAUGCUUUUUCUUCAGCACUUAUUCUGUUGGAUCAUCCCUUCAAUUAUCAUGCUGGAAAAGCAAAACAAAUAGAAGGGAUGACAGUACCCCUGACUAAAUUACAUUUGAUUAUUAUUUUUUUCUUCAGGUUGUUUAUUAAAACCUUUGUCCUAAAGAGCUGGAAGAGUAAAUUGCUGUGACUUCCAAUAUUUUAUGUAUUACAAAGUGUAAUGCUAUAAUGGAGUGGAAAGUACUGCAAUAAUAGCAGGGUGGCAAAAUCUUUGGCUGCAACAAAUAAGAACAAGCCCGAACACAGCAGCUGCAGAAAUGAAGGAAAAGAGCUACUUACCUUUGGAGGGCCUCAAGUAAGCAUAGAUCUCCAGCAAGAGAUGCCCUCACCUCCACUGCCAACCCUUAAAUGAGGUCUGGGAAGGAGUGGAUCCUGGCUCCAAUCCUUCUGGUCACUCAGGGGCAUUACAUUCACCUGAGCUCCCCUGGGUCGGCACUGCCUUCCCACCAGGUGCUCAAUCACUGGUUCAGGCCCUGACUUAGCAUUUCCACUACACAAGUGUACCUUAUGAAUCCUUGGGCAUAUUACAGAACUCAUUAGCAAAAUAUUAAGGAUUUUGUAAGCAAAAUGCAAGAUAUUUUUUAGACUAGGUUUAAUCAGUCCUUUAUAUAAUGAAAGGGAGAGCCUGAUUUCACUGAGUGAUGCAUGCAGAAAUUAGGAUGGAAGGUAUGUGAAGAGCAGCAGACACAUCUAAUCAUUGUACUGUUAUACUUCUUGACAUCAAGAUAUUACCAGGAAAAAAAGUUUUUCUUUAAGCUUCUGUUUAGUUUUGCCUGUUUAAAUUAGUGAUGUAUUCUAGAGGGACAACAGCGUAUAAAUGUGAUUGGUGUGGAUAACAUGAGGGAAGAAAUGAGAUCCACCUGUUAGUAGGUGAGUGAGGGUACAGCAGUUUUAGCCCAGCCCCAAAAUUUUUAGGCACAAAAUAAGAUGUAGAAAUUAAUGAACUUUUUUUGAUAGGGGAAAGAUGAAUUAGGUUUGCAAGCAAUAUCGAUAUCUGUUAAAGAAAAUCCUUUUCCCUCUCUUUUUUUUCCACUCUUCACCUGCAAUGUGAGAGUACAAGUCUAAUUUAUGUGAGUAUUUUCUCUAAGUUUUUUUGCUUAGUAAUAAUGGUAAAUGUAUAAAAGAAAUGUAGUCCUGCUGUUAGCUUUCAGUUUUUUUUUCUUUUUUUUUUCUCCAUUAUUUUUUCAGUAAUGUUGAUACCUGUUCUCCCUGAUUUGUAGACAUAGAAACAUUGCUCUUGUAUUUUAAUAGUUAUUCUAAGAUGGAUCCUCUAAAAACCCUAUGAAAUCCUAGAGAUAUCAGGCAUGGGAAAAAUGAGAUGAACACAUACACAUAAAUUUUAAUUUUUAUAAGUUUUUACUCUUUACCUUCCUAUUUUGCUUCUCAGAUAAUUGUGGGUGUAGGAGAGUGCUUUUCUUCAAGAGCUUCCAGUAAUAAUUCUUGCAAUGAAUUGAGAAGGAAAUGUGUUGAGGUUGGAUUAAUAAAAGAGCUUAAUAUCAUAAUCUUUUUUAGACCAGGCCUUGCUGAUGUUUACUAAAGAAAAUGCUAAAUCAGGAAAAACAUCAAAGGUGUGGGUAAUUUUAGUGUGUUUAGCUUUAGAAUGUUGUUUCCUUUAUUGGAAACUCACUUCUUCCACAGUAUUUCUUAGAAGUUAAUCUGAGUGGGUGAUUUCUCAAAGGGAAUUCCGUAUUUUAAAAAAAUCUAAUGAACAGAAAGAAAAAAAAACAACCAAAAAUAUACAUAUAAACAAAUAAAACCCUACCUCCUGAGAGAGAGCAUGAGAGCUCUGAGGCUGUUGCUGAUGUACCGCUGACAGUGAGGAGGACAAGAGGACGUUUCCGAAUAUAAAACUAAAGUGACUAUGUAAGUUCAUUUAGCUCUUCUUGUGCCUGCUUGCAAAUGUUGUGUAUUCCUAAACUAUUCAUUUAAUACUCUUUUAAUUACAUAGCUAAUCUUAACAUUUUUGAGUGAGUUACUAUGACAUAAUCAUAGAUCUGCAACCAAUUGCAGUGUGCUUUAUAGUUAAAAAUUGCCUUCUGGAUUUACAUACCUAUUACCCAGGGCUAGAUGUAGCAUAUUAUCACGCAGCAAUGUAGGCAGAUGCCUUGAGGAGUGGAGUGCAACAAACAUUAUCUGUUUUAUUAAUUCUGGACCCUGGGAAGACUUGCAGUGAGUGCGAAAAGUGUGCUGGAGGGGAAGGAGAAUAAUUCCUGUUCUUAUCUACUCUUAUGAGGAGAAACUGUGACUUAUGAGUGACAGUUAAUGCUUGUGGAAAGAACGUGUUCCUACCUGUGCAGAGCCACCUGGAAGAUCAGAUCUUAUUUCUUGAAAGGCGAUCAACUUGGAUUAUUUGAAGUAAUAACAAAAUGCUGUAUGUCUUUACAUUAAGGCUAUGAUCCCGCAAGUAGAUCAACAUGAUGGUUCUUUACACCUAUGCUAAGUCCCAGUGAUUCUAAUUAAACUUGAUGAUAAGAUCAAGCUUAAAGUACUCAGUGCUGUUUCUGCAGUGAGCACAGAUGGGCUUCUGUGUUUUUAUUGAAUCCACUGAAGUGAAUUGGGCUUGGUGCAGCAUUUGUAACAUUAAGGCCUUAUUUUCUAUGAAUGCAGAUAAGAGAUCAGUACAAAUAAGGUAACUAUUACCUGUGCAUGGUUCCUAACCUUAUUUGCUUUCUUUCUGUAAAUAGUAAGCACGUUAAUAUAAGCAGUAUCUGAUCUAAAAUAUCCUAGUUCAUUACAAAAGUAAUGCAGGAUUCCAUGAAGAUGCAUUCAAGUGUGACUCAUGUUAUGCUGUUAUGAAGAAGGCUGAUUUUUCUGAAGAAACGUUGGUGAUUAUGACCUACAGUUUUUAUAGGGUGACAUUAGAAUACUGAGGCUUUGGUGGUGAUUGAAGCAUUUUCACACGUGGCUUUUGAGUGUGCAACUUCCGUGAUUCUGUGGAAAAUCUAAUUCCUACAGAGUACUUUGCAAAUACAAAAAUAAAACAACAGGCAAGCACAAAAGCAAUAGCAAAUUUAAACAAAAAGAAAUAGCACAGAGUUUGAGAAUUAUAGUGUAUCUGAAGUCACAGUCUGUGUUUGGAGGAAAGGGAAAUGUAUUGCAAGGAAUGAGUCAGACAUGGGAAUCCCCAGAAACAUCUCCACUGAGUAGAGCAUGUGCUUAAAAAGCUGCUGCAAGGACAUCUCUGCAUGCUUUUAAGAUGGGAUUUGACCUAUUUUUGAAAGAUCUGUUAUUGCCAGUAGUGCUAGCCUCUGCAGAUUUGCUAGCAGCUCCCAUCAGAGUACUCAAAAGGCAGAAGAUUGUGUCUAUUCUCCACUGCAUGAUAGUUAGUUAGGUAGGUACUGCAGAUAGGUACUGCAGAUAGGUAUUGACAGACUGAUCUCAUCAUGUGUUAUGGAAGAUGAUGUGUGGACUCAUGAAUUUUUGAUUAUCCUCAGCCAAGUUUAGUUUGCUGUUCUGAAAUCUACAGCAAAAACUGACAGAGGCAGGAACUGAGAAGAGGUACUGUUAUGGUGCCGUGCCUGGUGAUGUAGUGUCCAUACAUCAAAGCUUUCUAUAGCUCUAAUAUGUUUGUGGGCAAUAUAGACAACUAUGCCAAAUGAUCCUGAAACAAACUUCAUCAGACACUCAGGCUUAGAUGGAAAUGAUUUUUGGUCAUGAUUAACUUGAUGGCUAUUUUUUCUCUCUGUCUUUAUCUCUCCUCAGAGAGAAUAAUCUGCAUGUGUAACUCCAUCAGGGAUUGAAGUCCUAAGUAGUUAUUAACUUGUACUUAGUAUGCAAUGAGUCUGAAUUAAAAGGGUAGAUCUAUCUUCAUCUAAUGAACACUUAAAACAAGAGUGACCAGGCAGGUUUAUAGCUGGCUGUAAUUGUGUUUUCCAUGCUCAUCAAAUAAAAGGUGCCUUUCAUUCUUGUAUGUCCAUAGUACUUGCUUUAAUUGAACUGGCAUCCCCAAGAGAGAGAGCUUAAAAGUUUUCAGGAAAAAGGACAAAUGUGUCAAACAGUAUCAGGGGAAAGAUGCAUUUGUAAAAAACUUUUGUGCUCAUACUAAAUAUGCUGUUGAUUCCCUUCCACUCUGCUCCCUCUUCUCCAUUCUCCCCCUGCCUCCCCUGUCUUUUAUUCUCAUGCUAUUGCAAACAAAUGCACUCCCUUGCAAUAUAGUGUAGUGUCAGAUUGUUUGAUGCACAUUCUUGUGCUUUUGAGCUCAAUGGUUCAGAGAAUUUGUUACAGUGUGUUCUAUAUGUACCCUUAGUAAGUUGUUGUUUAAGCAUCAGUAGAAAGAAAAAGCAUUAUUAUUACUUUAAAUGUUGAUUUCCUUUUUUGAGUAGAAUAGCAAUAGUAGAGGUUGGACAGGGAAAUUAGUCACACGUUCUGUUUGUAAUACCUUUUUAACACAUCUUUGGUGUUCAAAGGCUUUCUCUUAUGUGGAGAAGCUUGUAGGUACAUGAAAAUAUUCCUGAAAAUACCCCAAAUGUAGAGAGGCUUAGGUGAGAUUUUCAUGCUGUAGACUUGCAAAGUUAAUUGUUGAGUUGUUCCUGACUGAGAAGUUAAAAGGUUAGGUGUCUGAAAGAGCAACAACAGUUGAGUUCUUUUACCUUCCAUGAUUUAAUUAGGUAUGUAGAUGCUAGUGAUUUUUUUAAUAGCAUGAUUCUUUUUCCUAUGAUCACUUAAUGUUACAAUUUAGCCUGUUAUACAUUAUAGAAAAGAAAAACCUAGAUAUCUAAAUGACUAAGCUGAAUUCAUUUGCUGUAAGUGGCUUCAAAGUAUCUUGAAAUAUAUUCACUGAAAUCCUGCACAGUCAGUAUGGCCUGUGAUUUGAACCAUAGUAGUUGCAUAACAAAAUAUAUCAAUAGAAAUACAAAAUGCUUGCAAACUGCUUUGCUGCCUAGCAGAUAGUUUUCAGUCAGUGAACUUGUUUUUUCUUUGAAAGAAAAAUGAAGCUAGAAGCUACUGAAGAACAUGUGGAAAAAUGUUUUUGUGUCUUGGUCUGUCUUCUGUAUCUAUGCUGCCAAAGAGCAGUCAAUCAGAGGCAAACUCUGAGGUGAUGCUGAUGGAAGAGAAGGCUGAAGUAUACAAGGCUGGUAUUUGAAAUGUGAUAACCUGAAUUUUCUUUGCACCCUCAGUAAGUUUGCAGAUGACACCAAGCUGGGAGGGAGUGUUGAUCUGCCAGAGGGGAGAAGGGCACUACAGAGGGACCUGGAUAGACUGGAUCAAUGGGCCAAGGUCAAUGGCAUGAGUUUCAAUAGGGCCAAGUGUCAGGUCCUGUAUUUUGGUCACAACAACCCCAGGCAACCCUACAGGCUUGGGGAGGCGUGGCUGGAAAGCUGCCUGAUGGAAAGGGACCUUGGUGUACUGAUGAACAGUCGGCUGAAUAUGAGCCAGCAGUGUGCCCAGGUGGCCAAGAAGGCCAAUGGCAUUCUGGCUUGUAUCAGGAAUGGUGUGGUGAGCAGGACUAGGGAAGUCAUCCUGCCCCUGUACUCGGCAUUGGUGAGGCCUCACCUCGAGUACUGUGUUCAGUUUUGGGCACCUCAGUACAAGAAGGACAUGGAGGUACUGGAGCAGGUCCAGAGAAGGGCAACGAGGCUAGUGAAGGGCUUGGAAAAUCAGCCCUAUGAGGAGAGGCUGAGGGAGCUGGGGCUGUUUAGUCUAGGGAAGGGGAGGCUGAGGGGAGACCUUAUUACUCUCUUCCAGUACCUGAAAGGUGCUUACAGUGAGAGCGGGGUAGGUCUCUUCUCACUGGUGACAGGUGACAAGAUGAGGGGAAAUGGCCUCAAGUUGUGCCAAGUAAGUUUAGGUUGGACGUUAGGAAACACUUCUUUACAGAAAGGGUGGUUAAACACUGGAAUAGGCUCCUCAGGGAGGUGGUUAAGUCACCGUCCCUGGAUGUGUUCAAGAGCCAUUUGAAUGUGGUGCUCAGAGAUAUGAUUUAGCAGAGGACUGUUAGAGUUAGGGUACCACGGUUAGGCUGCAGUUGGACUUCAUGAUCUUUGAGGUCCUUUCCAACCUGAGUAAUUCUAUUAUUCUUUACAUUCAUUGAUCUCUUUGCUUGCUGCAAUGUUGAUGUGUUAGCUUUAAUGAAGACCUCUUUUACAGAGCUGUUAGUAAAGUCUUUAACUAGUGCAAUGCGUUUUUCUGUGUGCUCUCAUUCUUCCCUGGUUGACUUGCUCCUUGAUUUUUGUGUGUCUGUUCCCUUUUUCCUUUUCCCCCACUUAGUGGAAAUAGUGCAGUGAUGGAACAAAGCAUGAAAAUGAAGUAUAAUAAUCUAAAAAUAAAAUAAUAAGGCUUACCUUCCUUUUGUCCUAUAUUUUCUUUUCAUCCCAACAUCCAUCUAGGAGGCCAAUCUUCAGCUACAGUGUCCUUAAAACCUAUUUGAUUGAGGUAGGAGAAUUUAUCUUAAUUUAGCUAAGAUUAAUGUAGUCGCAAUAAUGAUGGAGAUGAUGGGCACAUAUCAGUUAUGUCCUAAGUAUUUUGGAACCAUGACAGAAUAUUGUAUGCCAGAAGUAUAAAAGUACCUUAAGAGUUGCAUAAGCAGCAUGAUGUUUAUUUUUUUUAUUAAUCAUGAAAGAUAUUAGUAACAAUUAUUAAAAGAUACCAACUUGUAUAGACAUUAAAAGAAUGCAUUUUGCCAUGGUCCUAAACACAAUGGUAUGUCUAGUGGCUAUUUACACCAGCCAUGCAUGUAGAAGCUGGUUUAUCAUCAGAAAAGUGCAAUAAUAGACAGGGUAGCAAAGGAACAGUAAAGCUGUAUACCGUAUUAUGAGACAUGUCGAGUUUAGAUACAGCAGACAAUAUGUUACAACUUGGUUUUGUAAUAUUCAGGUUAUCAAAACAUACUUUGAAACUGUGAAUAUUUAGUAUAAUCAAUAGAAAUCAUUUGAAAGAAAAAGGUGAAGCAGAGGUCAGUUGGGGGUUGCCAUUCACGGGCUGCCCUUAACUGUUUAUUGCUUCCCCUUUUCUCAGCAAAUCCUCUAUUUAAGAAGGAUUGUAAGGCCUGUGUAAUCAUUGAGGAUUUACUUCCUUUGGUGCCACAGAGCUGCAUUCAGCAGCAAUGCUACUGUUUCUUCUUUUUUUUUUUAAAUGUACACGACACUUCUAAAAAGAUGAAUAUGAAUGUUACCAGGAAGUGUUUUUGAUAGCAACAGUUAUAAAUUGUUUGAAAUUUGAAAUGUAGAUAGUCUUAUGUUCAAAUUCUGCCCUUAUGCUGACAAAAGACGCAGUAGUUCUGCAGAAUCUUAGGUGCAGAUGAUGUAAAUGGGAAUUCUGGCUAAUGAGGUCAAGAGUUUUUUAUUUUUUUAACAUGUGCUGGUACAAAAUCUUCUUGAUUCUCAGUUCUGUUUUAAAAUAUAGAGGAAGUCUAAAUAUUUAAUAGUUAGGGUGAAGGCUAAGUCACCACUUCCUUCACUGUCUGUGUUGAACAGAGAACAUAAUGCUUCAAGAAAACUGCAUGAUAUUUCUUACUGCUUAAUGUUCCUGGAAAAUAUGUGGUGUAGAUUGAUAGUUCAAAUAUUAAUUUCAGUUAUCUAAAGUGCUUGAGAAUUUCAGUUUACCCCACACUGUGACCACUCUUUAUUUUAAUGUAGGUAGAAUACUGAAAAGUGCUUAUUCAUAUACAGCUUUCUUACUUGCAUAAUCCGUAAGGACACAGUAUUUCCAAGUAGCUCUAGUAAAAAGGGGGAAAAAAUAAAUUUGCUAAUUGAAAAUUUGUUAUAAAUGAAAAAUGGAAUUUAAAGAAUAUUUUCUGUAUCAAUGGAAAUUUUAAUAUUAAAUUGCUCCAUCUAGUGGCAAACUUCUGAAGCUGAUAGUUUUCCUUCAGUGAUUAUUAUCCCUUAGUGAUUAUUACUCCUUUUAAGGAUUUAAGAUAAAAUUAUGCUACUUUCCCCUUGGAAGUUCUUUGCCAAGGGAACUCUGUAUGUAUCAAGAUACAAGCCCUGAUUUUUUCUUCCAGCGAGUUCUGAGGAAUUUCACUUUUUACUUCAAUGAAAGCAAGCAUAAUGUGCCCAAGUGUGAGAACUGCAUUUGAGUAGCUGGUUUGAGUUAUUCUUGGGACUGGGAGGGCAAAGGGAAGAGGUGGAUUGCAUCAAUAAUUUAUUCAAAAAAGAUGAAGUCUGAUUCCUUGGCAAAUAAUUAAAAUACACAAUGAAUCAUAAUACUGAGUACGGUGUACUCAGAUGCAUCUUGCAUUCUAAAAUGAGAUAAGUUUCUGUUGCAGGAUGUUUCAGUCAAAUCCUAACUGGCUUUGAUAUUGCAUUUUUUAUGAUAGUAGUGAACUAAUCAAAUGAUUUGUUGAUGUUGAUAUCAUUUGUCAGCAAUUGGAAUUCUUCUGCCAAUCAAAGAGAAAACCUGUGUGUUUCCUAGUCAUAGGAGAAUGGGGAGAGAAUUCAAAAGGAAAAUGACCAAGGAAAGGCUCUCUGAUGCCUUCUUCCUUUGCAUGCCUUGAAAAGACACAUUCAGACAGAACAGAAGGGAGCUCUUGAGGAGCUUGUGUAUGUAUUUCCCCCUACCCACUGCUGUGAUCUCUUAUGCAGCUGGCUUUAAAGAGAACUCAUGGACAUAUGAAUGCACGAUCAUAGAACAAAGAAUCAGUUUGAGAGUAGUUGCACAGUAUUGUUUUUCUGUGUCUGAAUGGAGCACAAAACUGUGCAGCCAGCAGCUCAAGUCUGGCUGCGAAGUAAAAAUAUUUAAAAAUGAAAAGGAAGAAGAUGGGAAAGCACUGAAAUAGUUUAAAACCAUAUUUUAAGUUUUAGAUUAAUAAUAAUAAUAAAAAAGUCUGUGCUUGAGAAUGUAAUGGAUGCAUUGAACUUGCUGGCACCCCAUCCUUUAAUUUUCUCAUUCAUUUUUCAGUUUUGGUUAAUCUGCCACAUAAAUAAUGUAUACAUCUUUAAUUUCCUGGUAGAUUAAUUCUCAUUUCUCAGUCCAAGUCUGAAUACUCCUUUUAGAUUAAGCAACUGUUCUCAACACCAGAAGAGUUGCAAUUUAUUCCAGGACUGUUCUGUUAUUCAAGUGAAUAAUGGAACACAAACUUUGCAGUGCACUUUCCCAGACUUCCUCUUCCCAAUUAGUUUGGUCACUUAAAAUUGCAGAUCACUGUUCCUAUCUUCCUUACCCAGGCAAAUGAACCCAUUAAAUAUCACAAUUGCAUAACUUCCCUACAUACUAACUAAAGUUUCCUUGCAAUGUUCGUUUUAGCUUCAGCUGUAUACUUUUGGUUGAACUUGCAGUCUUUGAAAUAUAAGGCCACACAUCUUGAUAAUAGUGCAUGAGCAAGUAAUUAACGUUGCUAUGAAUUGGAAUGACACUUUUUAUCUUUUGUAGUUCUUACAUAGCUGAGGUCUUCCUGGGCAAUAAAGUCAAUUAGGUGUACCCCAUCUCUCCUCAUUUCUAGUGGCUGAGGGAUUCAGGGGUACUCUUUAUGAACUGUAAUUCUUGAAGAUAGGCUGUAUCAGAGUUGCUGAAACUGAGUUUCUUUCCCUGGUACUUGCAUCUAUGUAGUGCUGACAGAAAACUGAGCAAUAAGCUUUGGCCUUUGCUCCUCCUGUUGAGCCGGGGGAACAGACAUAGUGGUGAUUCUGAUGGUUUUCAAGGGUCAGGGAAGGGAUUAUUAUCAAAAAUGUGAUGGGGGGGGAGGGGGGAAGUGUGCUGUUUGAAUCCUUAAAUUGUUUGAAAUACUUUGACAGUCACAAAUCAAAGACAGUUUAGUUUGGAGUAUUGACUUCUGUUCAGUUUGUCUCUUGAAAUUGUUUGAUCUCUUUCCAUUAACCUUACUAGAAUUUGAUGCUGACUAUUUUAGGUAUGUAUCCUGUCCAUUGAAAAUAACGUGACAUACAGAAUUGCUUGUGUGUGUGUGUGUGUGUCCUUGAUCAAACUUUUCAUUGGUAAGUGAGACUAACUAAGAAGGAUUCAUCUUCUCUUCCAGGUAGUUGGAAACAUAUUAGUAUCUGUUGAACUUUUGAGAGGUGGGUAGGUUCUUUCCCUGAUUGCUUUGGCAAUAUAUCUGUAUUUAUUUUGAAGGACUUUUUCAUAAUACUGCCUAGCUAUAGAUUACUCCACAGUGCCAACAUAACAUUUUAAAAUGGGUAUAUAUUAUCCAUCUUGAUUCUGUUAUCAAGAUUCAGUAGUCAGGUUCUUGUUUCUGUAUGCCAUAAACCUUGAUCUUUUUCUCAGGAGAGUAUUGUUAGGCAGUGCUAGACAUGGCUUAUAGUUCAGCUAACCAGUAUCAAAAUUUUCUCACUUACUAUAACAUGCAUUUCUUGAUAGGAAAAAAGGUUAUCUUUUUUUUUGUCACACUUGUUGCAUGGUUGCAUAUCAUCUUGGAGGUGCUCAAAGAUAACCUAGCUCUUUUUUCUAUUGUUACAAUCUCAGCUCAGAGGGACAUUUUAAAAAAGUAUUUAGAUUUCCAGAUUUUCAAUACUGUAGUACUGAACACUCCAAGGUUUUGAGAUUACUCUAUCUUAAAACAGCAGAAAGCUCCUCUGAGUGAACGAAUGAGAAACAUUCAUGGAGUUUUUGUACUGUUUCUCCUUUCCUGACUAUUUCAACUCACUAAAGCAGAAAGAAUAAAUUUGAAAAUUAGCUCCAGAAAUACUGGAAAGCAGUGAACACUUUUGCUAAUUUAAAAUAUUGAACUGGCCUUUUUGGCCACUCUUUCUCCCCAUAGGUUGGGGAAUACAAACUUUAUCACUCCUGGUUUAGGCACACUUAGUGUCACUGACUGAAUAGGUAGAGAUGAAAAGAUAAGGAGGUAGUUGAAUUUAAAUGCUCGUUUCUUCUUUGUAACUAUUGAGAUUUCAGAAAUGGUGCCAAUUACAAUAAAUUGUAACUGCAGUUUUGGCAUUGCUAUGAAUUAAAUUUUGCAAAUGAAUUGUGUAUAAUGACUUUCUCACGAAAGUUCUGAUUUGGCUGGUUUUAGUUGGGUCGAAGUCCUAGGAAAAUCCCCAUAAAAACUCUAGGAUCAGCAUCUAGACUUUACCACAGCUCAGUAAUUGUUCUCUUUAAUGUGACUUCUUAGAGCACUCUAACAAGCAAGGAAUAAACUUAUCUUAAGAGCCUAUCUUAUCAAGAUUUAUAGUCAAUAACUUAUGUAGUUUUGUGAAGUAGACGUCUGUGUGCAAAUAGCAAGGCUAAACUGACUGUACAUGCAGUAAACAAAAACUUCAGCUAGUUUUUCAUCCUGAAUACCAACUGAAAAAUACUUAUAUAACUCCACCUAAUGGAAACCCUUUCAUAAUCCUGAUCCCAUAUCUAGUUUUAUCAAAUCUACAGCCAGAUAGAAUUUAACUUAAGUUUUAUUUGAACUUCUGUAGCCAUGAUUUCACAUUUGUUAAAUUUGUGAAUGUUCUUUUUAAUAAAAAAACUACUUUUUUUUAAUAUAAAUCCUUAUAUAGAGGUUUCAGUCCUUGUUCAGUUCAAAUAGAAAAAUAAAUAUCUAUUUGUUUAGAAAAUGUCUUCUGAGCCAUUACAUCUGCAGACAAAGGGAGUUCAUUUCAAAUUGAUAAAUGUACUGUAUCUGAAAUAAAUGUAUCUGAAAUUGCUUGGUCCAGUCACUUUUUUUUCUUUUCUCAUCAGUCUGAAAAAUCAAAUGAAACAUCUCUGAAGAUCCCUGAUAGAUGUUGUCAGCUUUGUACAGAUAUUACAGUGUAGCUCAGGAGAUGUUCAAAGCGGGGCAAUAAUUAUCAAUCUAUUUUCAAAUAUCCCAUAGUAAAGUUUUUCUAUUAGAUUAUGCCAAACCUAUUGCUGAAGUGCUAUGCAUUUUUCUGUGUUGUGCAUUUAUGGGUGGGAGCUUUUACAUACAGAUCUUUAUAAGUAUGCAUGAGAGAAUGAUAUAUUGGUGAUAUUUCCUACUUCUAUUAUGCCAUCCCGAAGUGCAUUUUUUUUUCUGUAAACCAUACCAUCUAUUUCUCAUAUUGUAGACAAACUGAUUAGUUUAUUUUCUUGGAAACCACAUGUAACGUGGUUUCAUCUCAUAAUGUAUGCACAAUUUUUCCAAAUGUUUCUAAACAAUGCUUCAGGGCCUGAUCCGGUAAUUCAUUGGCAGGAAUGUUAAAGUACAGGAAACUGUUACAAAGAAAAACAUUUUCUUCCUAAAAAUGGAACUUUGACAAGAUAGUAUCAUUAAUUCCUAUAUUUAUUUUUCUCAGCUUGCAACGACAGUGGGAAUUUUCUUAAUGUACCUAGACUGCAGAGUCAUAUAUUGAUAUGAUUUGACUAAAGCAAGUUCAUGCACUUAAACUGCAUAAAACUAUAAAAAUAUUGCUGCUGAUUUGGUUACUUUUUGGAUGUAUUCAGUGAACAAAUAACUGUUAGUCAACAGCAUGAAAAUGCAGCAUGGGGAACGCAGACUCUUGUAUCCUUAGGCUGUUCAUACAAACUCUGCAGGAGAUCCUGGGCUGUGAUAGAAGUGGAAAUACGUAAGAGCUCUAAAAUUCUCUCAGGAACCCCCUCCAGUCCUUAGCAGAAUGGCUGGCUGCAAGCCAUGCUGUCACUGGCUGUUGGCCAACUCCAGUACUCUGUGACCCCUUCUGACGCAGCUUGUGGAGCAUGAAGGAUGAGCUAAUGGUGUUUCAAGCAGCAUUAGUGAAUUAAGUGUGGAUUCUCACCCACAGCAGUGUGGAAAGACUCAUGGUUUUAAGGAGAAGGAACUAGGCAAGAGAAACCACCUCCUAGAUUUAGACUGAAUCUAAGCGAGUAGAAGGUAUCCUUUCUUUUCCUAUCACCCUCAUGUAUAGCAUUGUUUGUUUAUUUUCUUGCCACAGUAGAAAAAUAAACAACUGAGUUUGUUAGCACUUUGUAUAGGAUAUUUUGUAUGUGAGCUCUGAAGGCUGCCUGAAAUAUAAUUAUCAGUGUUUUUCUGUUUUAUCCUUCAUCUAAAACAUAGUGGAAUAUCCUGGGUUAGGGGAAAAAGCCUACAACUCUUAAUUGCUGUUGGCCUUAAUAGGGUUAAAAUGUACUUGUGCAUUUUAAUAUGCUGAAGUAUUCUCACUUAGAAAGUACUUGGGAAAGAAUAUUUCAAAACUGUUUUUGAAAAAUGGAAUGCUGAUUUGCUAAACGCAUCUUGUAAAAAGUAUUUUGCCAUCUCUUGAGAUCAAAACAAUUCUGUCUUGAAAAUCCUAAAGUGGAGCAAAACCACUAUGAAACUAGUCUCAAGAUCAUUGUGAUGCAGCUUGUGGAUAUUCCUUAAACAAGGCACCCCAAUGAUAAUGAUUUGCCUAAAUUAUUUAAGAAGCUGAUCCAGUAACAUGAGUGAAUGUUCUUUUACAGUAUAAGUUUGCUAAAUUGUGUUCCAGUCAGUCUCUGUUUGCUUGCUUAUUGCUGUGGUGAAAUAGGCAAUGCAGUAGUGUAAUCAAGUCUUUAUUGUAUUGGUGUAAUUUGCUUGUUUUCUUUAUUGUUUCAGAACCAUCCCAAAUUGUUAUGAAAUGAAUAACACUCAUUUUCUUGCUAGAUGGAUGAUUGAAGCUGCUGAGUGAAUUUUUCCGUAACAUUUUUGGGUUUCUGUGAUAAGGAAGUAUCCAAGGCUGCUCUUUAAUUUUGUCUGUUAUACAGAAAGGUUUAUUUUCUUAUUUUUUAAGCUUCAGUAUGUGCAGCCUGAUUCUUCACUGCAUAGAAUGAAACAUGAUCCCUUAAAAAAAGCUUUUGUACCACAAAAGAUAUCAAUAAGAGUGUAUCCUGAACACCUUCAUUCCUAUGAACAUUUCUUGCACAAAAUUAUAAUUACCUGUAUGAGUAGUGCCAUUGUUUUCAUCUUGACUACAUUUACAGAGGUAUCCUCUGUAAGUUUGGCCUAGUGAGGCCUGCAACUGUUCUGUUGCUAUAAAAGGAAAAUUCCUUCGCUGAAUUCACUGUAAAUUGAACUGGGUUCACAGUGAGCAAUGCUUAAGCCCUAUAGUGCUGUUGGAAAACUCAUUCUUCAAAAAGAAUGACAUCAUCAAUAACAUGCCUUUGGAGUUGGGAAUGGGUGGAGUGGUGGUGCUUAGCCUACUAGGUUGCUCCUGACAGAAAGAGUUUGAAUGGAUCUUAGCCUCAUCUGAGGCUUGGUUAUUGAGAGCUGUUCCACUGCCUCACGCUAAUCACAAAUCAAUUUGUGGCUGUUUGAAUGUGUUUUAUAAUGCAGUGCACCCACAACUCCCUCAAGUCCUAUUCUGUUUGUGUGGCUAAAUGUUUGAAACCAAGCUAAUAGCUCAUGAGAACCCUGGAAAAAAAAAAAUAUAUAUAUAUAUAUUUUUUACAGAUUGUAACAAUAAUCAGUACUUUUCAGUGUCCAGAUGCUUGGAAUUCUUCAUUCAGUUUUCAUUUAUGAAAUGUUACUGAGUUUAGGUAAGGCAUUACUUUUUCAUGUAAUAUUGUGUAUCACUGUUUUUCUUGUAGUCCUUGGUCAGAAUGGGUUUCUUUUUCAAGGAGAAGUGAAUUCACUUGGUUUAAAAUUGUUUUUAUUUAUUUAGGCUAGCAAAUGUUUUGUGUGGCAUUGUAGCACUUCCCCGUUACAUUUUUGUUAUGCAAAGUGACAUCCAUCCUGAGACUGUGCUUGUUUUUUGUAGUGCUUGCCUUUGGUCGGCACUGUACCAACACAAAGCUUUAAAAAGAGUAAAUUACUCCUUUGAGGAGAGAGUAAAGGCUGGAAGAUUGGCCCUACUUUUGACUGUACUCCUACUACUUAAAACUUACAGUUUAUAUUAGCGUCUUUAUCAGCACAUAACCACCUUCUCCAAGAAGUAUAUCUUCCAAACUUCUUGAGUAGAUGAAAUAUCUCCCUUAAAGUGUAACAAGUACUGCCUGUAGAGUCAGUGAGCUUUACCUCCUACUUGACUUUUCUGAAAUGUCCUGUGCUUCUGGCUCUUUAAUUGAACGUGGAGAGUGUUCCUGCACUUGUACAGCAAGGAGGCAGAUUAUGGCAGUAGUCAGUAUUAUGAGGAACAUAGAAUGAGCAAUACAUCCUGCAGAAUUCUGGAAAGGAUAAAGAGGGACACUUAAAGACAGAUUUAUUUAUUUCUUUCAAAGCGGUCUCCUAAGCCUGUGAAAGCUUGUGAAUCAGAGUUAGAAGAUAAGAGAAUUCUUGAUCAUAGACCGGAACCUUCUUCUUGUCUGUCUUGGAAGCUUGUUUUUCUGAAGGUUACAGAAUCUUUAGUAAGUUUUGAUUCCAGAAUCCUUGCGUAAAUAGUCCUCUGAAAUAAAAUUGUUUUCAGGCUUUAGGAGGUAGCACUACCAGAACUAGGUAUGGAAGCCUUUCCUUUUCUUUCAUGAUUAUUUGAAGAUUAAAUGCAAAGUUGGUAGGGACAUAGCUCCUGAGUAACAAUUAUACUUUCCCUAUUGAAAGUAUGUUUUGGAACUAGUUCUUUCAUAAUUUUAAUCACUAUAUAAGGAUAUGGAAUAUAAUUCUGUGAAAUUCCCUCAUUAGUUGGAAAAAGCUUUUGUUCUAAAAAAGAGGAAGUGUGGGGGGUAUGCAAGGGUGUGUGGGAAGGGUACACAAUAGUUCCUACUGCAGUACAAACUAUGCAGGAACAGAGCUAUCAGCUAAGUGGAAAAUAGGAAUCAGCUUUGUUCCUAAGGAAAACAACUCCCAGGAGGAAGCAAAAGUCCAUAUGUAGAGUGGAUAACUGCUGAUGUGCUGUUCAGCUUUGCUUCCCACAGAGCAAUGAGAAUUCAGCAUAUUUUGUAUUUUAAAGUGGCACCCAUGAAAUUAUGGAUAUUCUGAUAUAUAAAACUUAACACAUGCUUAGAAAGGAUAAAGCACUUUGAACCCUGGGUCAUUUCAGCCAGUUAAAAGAUGCUGAUGUGCUAGUCUUUUCUGCAUUGAAGAGGUGAGAAUAAAUGUUCUGUUCUUGCAGAGCCUGGUGAUUGGCCACAUGAUGAAAGCGCCUCUUAUUGGCACCUGGAAGAUACGUGUGACAUGUGGUCAGGGAAGUCAAACACUAAUUCCAAGCCUCUCAGUUACCUUUCCUAAUAACUCUCCAUAAUUCUGUAUAACACGCUGCAGGAAACUGGUUGUUAGAAACGUGGGGUCUGAGGGAGGGACUGCUGACUGUCUGCUGACUUCCAUAUCUCAGAGCCAGCAGUGAGCUGGUUGGUUGAUCUGACACUUCUGUGUUUUCACAUCAAAAGUCCCCCAAGUGUCUGUUCCUAUAAUAUCUUAAAAAGCCAUUUAGCAUCAUUUAUCUGCCUUUUGAUUUCUGUAUCUCCAGGGAGUGUUUUACUAAGGCUUUUAAACUGCUCUUGGCAAUACAAACGUAGAAAGGGGCUUUAUUUAACUGGUAUGAAGCUUAUGCCACUGUAAAUACCCUAAAUGUAGUAGUAUCACGUUAAAUUACUUGCUGUGAUAAAUAUUUCAGGGUAUAGUUAUGAUACUGCUGUGACUUGUAACAACUAGGAAAGUGAGGGUGACAUGACAUAUGGUCUCUGUUUUGUGCCAGUAGUUCUGUGUACAUGAAGUUAUACUGGCAAAACUGUUGUUGCUGUAAUCUGUUCUGUGAAUUAUGACUUUUCUUGGUGUAAGUAUAAUGCACAUCACUGCAUCAUUCAAAAUAGGAGGAGUUUGAGGUUUCCUUGUACUGGUGUGGUUAUAGCAUAAAUGGAUGACAGGCACAUUUCUGUACAAGAUAUUAACACAAGUAAAUGAGUUUUAGUACAAUUUAACUAUGAAGUUUGAGGCCCCUGAAUACAAGGUCAUAAAGGAAAUUCAGGGUUUGCGCAGAAUAUUAGUUGGCUUUUUUUGUUGUUGUUUGCUUGUUCGGUUUUUUUUUUCCUCAUAGGUUUCCUCAGGAGGCUUGUUUCACAUCUGCUUUAACAGGAUAAUGUCAAAAGUGCAACCAUGUAAAAACUGUCAGCUGAACGCCCCCUAGCUGAAGUAAUUUUUAGAACAUGAAUAAGGUAAAGUUUUCCAGGGUGCUCUAAUACACAGCUGAGUUGAAUCCCACAUUCAGAGUUUCUUGUUUUGUAGUUUCAACUCAGCUGAACUGUUACUCUAAGGAUGGAUACAUUUGUGUUCCUAUACUGAUCAUUUUGGAAAAGUAUUUUAUGUUAAGGAAGCAAUCUUCAUUUUCUGUUGUUUUUAGUUGGAAAAAAAAAAACUUCUCUCCAUGUAGGUAAGACUUUGUUCUAUUUUGUAUACACAAUAAUAUUAAUUCUGCCCUUUGCUCGAUCAGAUUGUUCAGAGUACAUCUGUCCACAGAUCAAUCUUCUAUACAUUUAACAGAAGGUUUAUCUUAUCCCACUUAUGCAGGUUCCUGUUGUCCAUAUUCUUACUCUAAGUGCCUAACUUUCAUUGCACGUUACAAUGAAAUACAUAGUUUAAAGAAAAAAAUAUAUGAAGUUAAGCAUAUUGGGUAAUUGCUACUGAGUUCUGCAUAGACUCUACUACGAGAGUCUAUAAGAUCAUUGAGAAAGUGAAACCUAGCUAGAAAGCAUGUUACAGGAUGCUUAAAGUGACUGUACACCUUUUCCUUUGCUGUGUUGGCAUCACUACUUAUGCAUUACAGAAGAAUGUGCUCAAGAAUAGUUAUACACUUACAUUAUUUUGGUAGGUGUAAAUAAAAUAAAAUAAAGCUAAUGAGGAUUACUGACUGUUUUUGCUGACAUUAUUGAAUUAGUUUUUCCUGGUUUAGUGCUUUCUGAACAUGUGAGCAUUCAUGAACAGGUGGAGUGCCAUCACAAACUGUCUAUAUAUUAUAUUCUCAUAUUUCUCCAAGCAGAAUUCACGGAGCUGAACAGGAGUAAUUGAUAAUGUUAUACAUAAGUGCUGUCUUUGAGUUCAUAAUGGAAGUGUAUUCAUUAUAACUUGAAUGCUAAACAGCAACUGUCUUGAAGAUGAAUUGACAAAGGUUCAGUACUUCUGUCCCCUCCAGUAAACUUUCAAGAAUUUUGUAAAGUAACACAAUCUUGGCAUUCUGUACAACAUGUAAAACAGCCCAAAAGAGCACAACUCUUAUAUUAUCCUUUGUUGAUGACUGUUAGUUCAGAGAGCUCCUUGUAAAAUGCUUUUAUCUUGGCUACAACUAUGCCCAGCAUGCUAGUCCAGAAGUUCACAAAAUCAUAGAGGUUAAAAGGAACCUCUGGAGAUCAUCUAGUUACAACCCUCUGCUAAAGCAGGUUCCCUCAUAUAGGCUACACAGGAAAGUGUGCAGGUGGGUUUUUAAUAUCUACAGAGAAGGAGACUCUCUGAGCAGAUAGUUCCAGUGCUCUGUCACCCUCAAAGUAAAGAAGUGCAAAAGCAGCCUCCUAAGCUUGUUAUAUGAAAAUCACCAGCAGGUACACUGAUGGUUGUAUUUUUUUUUUUUUGCACAAAUGAAAAAGUGUUGAUUGAAGAUAAUUUACUAUCAGCUAAGAAACUUAUUUGCUACCAAAACACUUGAGAGGAUAAUUAGUCUUGAAAAAAAUCAAGAAAAAGAUUUUAGUUAGACAUUAGGUUUUCUCUGUUAGUCUUGCAAGUCUUGGAUAUGCCAAACUACUAUGAUUAUUGUCAGACCUUAAAUAAUCACCUACCUACACCAAAAUACAACAAUGACAGACACAAAUGCAGAAUUGCUGUAUCAACAUUUCUGAACCAUUACUGAUACCAGUACUAUGUACUUGUUGGUUACUGAGUUCCAACUUGGAUACAAAUGCUGUUAUGUGUUGUAAGCAGCAAACCAUAAUGAAAGAAUAGAGGAAAUUGACCUUCAAACUGUAUUAAUUUAUCAUAUGUUGCAAUCUUUCUUUAAGUCAUUCUGCCGUAUUACUUCCAUGUUUACCUAAACACUUUGCUAUAAUCUAAAAGGUUCACUGAAAGAAAUGGAUUCUGCUCUUAGAUAUCUAAAGUUUGAUCUGUGUACAACACUGAGCCAGGAUUUUGGCUUAUCCCCGAAACUGGCACUUUUAUGACCAAGAACUGCAAUUGGAUCCCAGUUCUUCCAACAGUCUCAUUCUAAGCAUUUUUGCAACAAUAGUUCCCUCUAUUACAGGAACUACAGAAUGCUUCAAAUACAAAUGGAUUAUUUAAUACUGGUUAGUGCCUCAACUGUGACAUUUUGUUGCCUUUAGAUUUUAAUGUGUCAGGAGGAAAAACUAUUUGUUGGCUGUCCUAUUUUGUAAUAAUUCAUUCUCUGUAAGUCCUCAUUAUAAUGAGAAAUUACAGCCACGACAUUUACAGGAUCCUGUCAGGUUCCUCUCUUCUCUCUUGUCCCAUAGAAUCUCCUAGCAUCAAGAAGCAGAAACAGCUUUUUCUUUUUCUCUGUUUUCAAAUAAAUGUUCCACAGUUGUAAGCGAAGGACAGUGGUCAUUGAAGAAAAGCAUCAUGUCUGGUAAUGGAGUAAUUAUGUUUUUAACCGUAGUGAAGGUUUUUUUUGCUCUGUAUGGCCAUUUAUGCCUACUACUGUACUAAUAUAUAAGAGUUGCUUAUAUAUAAGAACAGUAUUCACAAUUCUCUAAACUCUAUGCUUUAUUAUCUGUCUUUACACUGCAUAAAUAUGGAUGAAAAUAUAGUGAACCUCAGGCUCUAAGUAGGUUAAUUAGUACUUAUUACUCAGUAUUUGUAAACACACAUUGAGUGUUUUUGUCUUUUUUUUGUUUUUAAUGACUACAUGGUUGAGAUAGGCUGAAAAAAAACACCACCAAGAAUAGGAAAACAAGGCUGAGGCAGCUGGGCUUGUUCAGCUUGGAAAAGAGAGGGCUCCAGAGGGGAAGACCUCAUUGCAGCCUUGCAGUACUUGAAGGGAAUUUAUAAAUAGGAGAGAAACUGAAUUUUUAUAUGGGCAGAUAGUGAUAACAGCAAGGGGGAAUGGUUUUAAACUGAAAGAGGAGAGAUUUAGGUUAGAUGUUAGGAGGAACUUCUUCACUCAGAAGGUGGUGCAACACUGACACAGCUGUCCAGAAGAGCUGUGGGUGUCCCAUCCCUGGAGACGCUCAAGGCCAGGCUGGAUGGGGCCCUGGGUAGCCUGAGCUGGUGGGUAUGAGCCCUGCUUGUGGCAGAGGGGUUGGAACUAGAUGAUUUUAAGGUUCCCCCCAAUCUGAGCCAUUCUAUGAAUCAUUUGCUACUAGGAGUACUGGCAUGUGAUUUUAUGAAAAGUCAUAAGAAUUGAGGCAUUGGUAUUCUUCUGCAUGUUUUGUGAAAUGGGAAGAUAGCAAAGAAAAAUCAGAAAAAUUAGAUAAUUUUGACAAAUAAAAAUGUAUGGAAUUUCAUAUUAUUUUCCUGCAAAAAGCAAGAAAAAUGGCAAGAUUGUUAACUGUUGACAUAGUAUACCAGGAAUCAACAGCUAUUAAAAUUUUGUGCAAAUCUAAUUCAGCUCUGCAAAUGAGAACAGUGAUUGCAUGAGGUACUUGCAAGGUUGAAUGUUAACUACAGACCUUUGUGCUAGAAUAGGUAUAUCCUUUUAUGGAAUUAGUCUCAAUAUAAGCUGAACAAAGGAUAUGGGAGAGAGUAGGUGUUUCAUGACACACAGUGAAAUCAUGGAACUUUGUGCGCGUGAAGUUGCUGCUCUUCAGCUACUGUCUUGUAAUUGAACGACACUGUAGUAACCAGGGGUUGUACUUCCAUAGUGAAUAUUUGGGCUGUCCUUCCAGCUGCAGCAUUCUAUAUUUCUAAUGGGAAAUACAGAUAACACUGAGAAGUAAAAAAAAAUAAAAUUCUAAGAUAUGCCCUUUUUGUGACCAAGGAGUGCGAACAGCUGAUAACAUGGCAGUGUCAGGUCACACCUACACAGAUCAAAUUCAAGCUGUAUAUGUGUGCAAUGUAACUGAAGCUGGUGGAAAUGGUCUUAUAUACAUGGUACAUACAGUAGUUUGAGAUUUUUACUGCUCCUGGAGCUCCAUUCUAUUCGUGCUAUAGUUAUCACCCAUGAGACAAAGGUAGCAGAACAAGAUAUAUGAGUUUUACUUCUGCUUAUCUACUUUCUGACUUGAUUGUUUAGUGCAAACACAUCUUCAUUGUUGAUGAAAAUUAAAAUGUCAGAUUUGGAGUGACUUAGAAAAAGAUGUGGAUUUUUACCUUUCUUCUGUCUCUGCUUAAGGACAUAGCCUUUGACAGAUAACAGUUAACAUCUACAACAGUAAUGUGCACUAAUAAAUUUGUCAAAUCUUCUUCACAUAAGCUUUAAGUUUGAAUAGUUUUUUUCCAAUAUUAAUGGAUCUGCUGCACAUCUUCUCAAGAUUAACAAGACCAAAUACUACUUUCACAAUAUUCUGAAGAAGCAACUUUUUAGAAAAUUCCCAGGAAAAAAAAAAUUAGAAAAUUUUAAAAAUUUGACCUUGGAUUUGUAUUUAAAAUGUUCUGAAAUUUGACUUCUGUAAUUGCCACUUUGAGGGGCAGAUCAUCAUAUCUUGUAUAUUUAGCAAGCCCAGCUAUGUGGAAGCAACUUGGGAUGUGACCUUGUGUAAAUGCUUUUUAAAUUACUCAGAAUCGUUUCACAAAUCUAAUUAGCAUGUGAUAAAAUCACUUCAAUUCACCUAAUUUGACACUAGUCAUUAAAUCAAUUCAUGAAGUUUUAUUUGUCUAUUGUUACAUAUUAUUGAAUGUCAUUUUUAUGUGAAGAGAACUUAAAGUGAAUCACCCUAAAUAGAAAUUAUAAGCCAGUGUAUCAUUCUUGCUCUACGUGUCAGUAUUUAUCUUGGCCAGCAAAUUGUCAUAUGUUUUUUUUCCUGAGGAAAAAGCAAGCCAUGCUCUGAAGGGAGAGAGAAAAAAAUCUGUGCUGUGUUUGUAGGAGGUGCUGUUUAAUCAGCUAGACCAGUUAAUAACUCUUGCUGCCUUUUUUUAUUUGUCAAGGGCUCAAUAUUUUUUCAAUAUGAGGUCUGCUUCAGUGUGCUUUAAAUGACAGUUUAUAAUUAAUGGUACUUGAGUGUGCCUCAUUUCAAAAAUUCAUACAACAUUCUUGGUUACAAUUUAUACAUGAUUUCAAAGUAUAAUUAACGUUCAGUUUUACAAGAUAUAUGCAAACAGAUAUGCAAAUUUGAAAAUAAAUAUGCAAACAUAGAAAAUGUUGUUGAAUUAAGUAGUCCUUAACAUUUUUAAUGAAAUCAAUAUUUUAUUCAUAUUUUGCACACAAUUUUGAGUACUUAGUGAUUUGAUAGUUCUCAGACUUCUGUGGACCAUGUCUGAAGAUUAAUUCUCCUGUGACUCAUCUUGUCUUUCAGUCUCCUGAACUUUCCUUAUGGAAAACAGGAGCUAAUCAAAACCCCUCUGAAUUACUGGGAUUCUUUUCAGUCAUGCUGUGUGGGUAUUUCUGAUAGUAACUUUAGCAUGUUACUGAAACAGCUGAAAAUAAUACUAAACCUUUAUCUAGUCCAUGGUUCCAUUCCUAACAAUAGCCAAAAAAACAGAAACACCUAGAGAAAAAUAUGAAAAUACACCUCAAAUGCAUCACCUGAAGUUUUUUCUAGCCUACAACCAUUUAUGAGUCAAAAAAUUUCAAUGGUGAUUCUCCAUGCUGUUCAGCCCCAGGCCCCCAUUUUCCUUAUUUAAACUGCUACUAAGGUAAUUUGUCUUGCAUCCUGCCAUGUUGCCCCCCGCAGCUUGUCUGUGUAAAGACCUCUGAUGCGUUAGAGGCAUUUGAUCAAUUCCAUGCUGUUGUCCCUAAGGAAACCAUUUUGUACCUUACUACUCUGUGACAGUGGUGUCUUAUGGGAUAUUCUCACUUCCCCCAUCCUCACCACUAUAUCCAAAUACAUGAGUCAGGGGCUUGAUGUAUUUUUCCUCUGGAUGUGGGAGGCUAUUUUCACUGCUGCACUGUGCUAGUAGCCCUUACUUAUAUAAAUUUAUUUGUAAAUUUCCUGUAUGAUUGUUGUCCUUGAAUGCUUGCUAUUCGUUGGCUUUGGUUGCCAACAAACUUGCUUCCUACCAAGGAAAUGUUAUCUCAGAAGACAAUGUAGUUAAGAUACCCAGGCAACCAAGGUAUAAAGAUGUAUGGAAGUUUGUAUUUAACUGAUAAGAGAAGUACCUGAAGAGGGCCUACAGGAAAGCUGAGGGGGAACUUAUUAUAAAGGCAGGUACCAACAGGACGAGGAGGAAUGGUUUUAAACUGGAAGAGGGUAGAUUUAGACUAGAUAUUAGAAAGAAAUUCUUUCCUGUGAGGGUGGUGAAACACUGGAACAGGUUGACUAGUUGGUUGUGAAUGACCCUUCCCUGGAAGCUUUCAAGGCCAGGCUGGAUGGGGCUUUGAGCAACCUGGUCUAGAGAGAGGUGCCCUGACUAUAGCAGGAGGGUUGUAACUAGGUGAUCUUAAAGGUCCCUUCCAACCCAAACCAUUCCGAUGCUAUGAGAAAGUCCUUGGGGAUCCUGAGAGAAACUCAAGGUUCUGGCAGUAGUUGCUGGUAAAUAACUAGGUAGUAGUACUGGGACACUGAUAGGUGCUUCGUUGUUGGAACAGGUAUAUAUGUUAUGAUAAUAUAGUAGAUUGAGCUAGGAGAUAAAAUCUUGCACUUCGCAACUGCAACCUAUGCUCUUUAUAGUGUAGUUAUAUAAUGCAAACUGAGGAGGGGCACAAAGAAUAGUUGAAGGGUUUAGUGUCAGAAAGGACAAACAUAGGCUGACAUCGUAGGCAGUAUGUAGAAGCAGGUUUCCAUUCUGUCUUUAUUGCCAAUCAAAGCAUGCUUUGAUUUUUGAACCACUGAAAGAAUAUUACAGAAUUUCUGCAGCUGCAGAAAUUACUGGAAUCUAACAGUUUCUUCAGGCACUUAGCAAAGCCUUCUCCAUCUAGAUUCUAGUGCUAGACAGGAUGCUUAGACAAACGUUGACAUACAUUGCAGUAAUUUGUGUAUCUGAGCGUAUAGAGUAGAUGAGUGUGGUACAGAAAAUUGUGUUCAAGUCAGAAUGCACCAUAGACAGCAGGAGGCAUACAAUAUUUGACUGCAGUCUCAGAAUCUGAAGCAACAUUAAGCUAUUCAUAACACUUCAAAUUCUGUGGAUCCCACAAGAUAACUAUGGGCCAAAGAGUGAAUGUGGUUUCCUAUCCUUGGCUUGCAGGACUACUGAUCAAGAUAGCAUGUCUAGGCCCUAAGUGAUUUAGAGUUACUACAUAACAUUCCUACACAUGUAAAGAGCUGUACUAAAUUCAGUGUUGUUAAUUAAUUAGGACUUGCUCAUAUAAAUAAAGUUUAUAGGAUUUUUCUCUGAUGUUUUUUCAACAAAAGCUGGAAUGUCUCACUUAGUCUAUGUUGGCGCACAACUGAUCAAAAUAGUAAUUAUAUAUCUGAAGAAACAUUACUUCAAAAUAGACUAGAAGGCAGUUUUGAUCAUUGCAAACUGGUAUUUGAAGUACAGUGUUUUGGUUAUGAGAUACAGAAAAAUGUAUAUGCACGUGCAGGUGUGUAGCCAAAAUGCUAUUUCAGGGCAAAGAAGUGCUAUAAUAUUUUCUGAAAUAUGUUCAUUUAUUACUACAUGUGUAGUGAGGGAAAACUGUACAGCUGCUUUCCCGUACAUCUGUAGUAGUUUCAACAUUUCUAGCUGAUUACUCACUGAAACGAAGACAUUCUGGAGAUCUGCUGUACUUAGCAAAACAGUUUUCAGAGCUAUGCAACAUCCUCUGCCUUCAUGUCAAAUAAUCUUGGUUUUAAAAGAUUACGUGUGCAUAGUUACUCUGUUCCAUAUGCCUUUUCUUCUCCUAGAAUAUUUCAGAUUUGGUUUUUUACAAUGUUUUAUUUCUGUGGGCUGGAUUUCAUUUCAACUGAUUGCUCUUUCCCCUCUUCAUUCUAUUGUAGUUAUUUUUUGAAUGUCUCAAAUUCUCCAAUGGAUUUAUGACAAUCUGAAAAUUAACAAUGGCCCCUUAAUUGCACAGGGCUGAGUGAGUCACAAAGUCUGUACGUGACUGAUGUUUCUUUCCCCUUACUUCAAUCCAGGCAGUUCUGUAUGCUUUUUAAACCUGUGUAGAGGUGGUAAAAUGUGUAUAUGUUGAAACUUUUUCUUCCUGGCGCUCCAUCACUUGGAAAGCAAUCUGAGGCUUUUCCAUAGGCUAAUGUAUUGGCAGUAACUUAUAAAACCCCAAAAAUAUGGAAGCAUGAUUUUUGAUUAUGCUAUAAAUUGGGAUUAUUUCCUUCAGGCAGGCGGAAGGACAUGCCAGCUGGACUUUAUAUUUUGGCUGUUAGAAAGCUUUAGGAGCCAAAAUUAUAAUUAGCUCACUCAUAUUAAAAUAUGUGCUCCCUAGCUAUAUUCUUUUUUUUUUUUUUUGCCAGAGCCUGAUACAGUUUCUGAAGGACGCAUUUCCCCUCAGCCCAGGAAAUAUGCAUCAUAGUGUUGGUGUUACCCACCCACCUGUGCAGUGGCUAUUGCAGUACUUGCACAGAGAGGCAGCACACCUGCUGCCUGGCACGUGACAGGCGUAUGGUUGUACCGUAGGGGUGGCUGCAGAGGCUGUGGGCUGCCUCCUUCACUGCUUGGGACAUCAACUGCAGGGAUAAACACUUUAGGCUAAUACGAUAAGAGUUGCUCAGAACUGCAGGAAAUGCAUCUAAAACAGGAUAAGAAGAAAAACAGAGCUUGUUCAUAAAUAAGACAUCAGUGCAAGAAAGUAACUUGUAUUUCAGUAGCACCUUGUUUUGUUUUACAAAGUAAUGCCAGAGAAUUCCAGCUGAGAUCCAGCUGGAGUCCACAAAGCAACUAUUGCACAUGGAAAGUGGGAAUGAAUGACUGGUAGGCACUGCAGAAAGAACCUUUACCUAAGGAAUUUCUCAGAAAACAUGGGCUACAGCAGAGGAUGCUAAAACUUUCUAUAAGAGCAUCAUUUUAUUUGAGUGAGAACUGAGAUAAGGUUCUACAAUUGUUGGGAAGUGAAGAGGGAAUAUUCAGAGCACAAAGUAUUAUGUCCAUCUGAGAGCUGUUCACCAUUCACAGCUGUGGAUUUAAUUAGCUGUAGCUCUCCCAGCUGAAGGGGCCAGCUGAAGGCUAUCCUGUUGCCUUGGCAUUGGCGAGGUGUGUAUUCAUGUUACAGCAGGGGGCUCCAGAGUUGCAGGGAGACUUCACUGAGCAACAAUCAGUCACAUCAGAACUCUGAAAGACAUUUUAAAAAGUAUUGAAUCGGAUUAUUUAUUAUUUCAACUUAAAAUCUGAAAGAUGAAACGGAUUUCUUGCAGACUUAAGAAACGCAUGGAUAAAAGUGGUCUUGCAAAUUAAUCAGUGUGCUUUGGUACCCCAAAAGGAGAAAUUUCAAAACUAGAGGAGAAGAAAGAUCUAGAAAUUAGUGUAUGUCUUAACUUGAAGUUUCAAGACAAACUAUUAAUGUUACUCCUUGAGGGUGAUACUAAUAUCUGGCAAGCUUUUUUUCUUCCUGGUUACAAGAACUGGUGCACUUUCCUCUCUCUAUCCAGCUGUUUUUCAUCUGCUAAGAGAUUAGGAAAUAUUUCUUAUAAUGUUUGAGUAGAAAGCUUUCUUAUUAAUGCUAGUAAUCAGAGAGGCAGUUCAAAGCAGAUUUGACUUUCUAAGUAAUACAUGUUCUGUAUCUUAGUUUUGCUUAGACUCUUGAAUUCAUGCUAAUCUUUGUUGCCAUUUACCAUUCUGCUUUUUUUCACAUAAGAAGAGUGAAUACUUUGAAGUAUGCUACUACCAGAUCUUACCAGAUCACUGAACAGAAAUGCAUGACUAGUGCUCUAGAAAGUGAGCAUAAAGUUGUAUUAUUUGAAAGUGACUGUAGUUUCUCUGCUGAAAAUUUACAAGCAUUACUGUAUAGUUCAUAACAUCUGUAAAAAAAAAAAAAAAAGUUUUCUUUUCAUGGACUAUUUUCUGUGUUUUGAAAGUAAUGAAAUAUAAAUGAUGAGAAAAUAGUAAAAAAUAUGAACAGGGAUAAAACUCGAAACCUUUACCAUUUACUCAUAGCUGAAAUGCAAACCCUUAACUUUCCUCUGAGUUAGAGUUAUAUACUUGCACAAGUAGAAUCUUUUUCUUUUCAUCAUAAAGGUCAUUUUCUAUUGGCUAAAUUCUUCAUAACUUAGGUUUUUUUUUAACUAUCUUUAAUUAAAAUAAACGACAGCUCUGUAGUUCUCUUGGUUGUUUUGGUAUUUUUGCCACAGUAAUUCCGAUUCAGUUUCAAAAAUGUCCAGUAAGCAAAAUGAGUCUGUUGGUUGGAAACAGUGGUAUAAUUUUUGGAUGGGUGGGGAAAAAGCAAAAUAUGUCUUUUCAAAGUAAGGAAAAAAGUCUGUAGAUGCUACAGACCUGAUUUUAGCCCAUUUAUUCAGUAUAAUAGUACUGAUAAGCACUGUUUUGCUAUGUUCCUAAUGAUUUGAUUCCAAACAGCAAGUGUAAACAAAGAUCAGUGUAGCAGAAAUGUUGUCACGGCUUGAAACAGUGAUUGAGCACCUGGUGGGAAGGCAGGGCCAAUCCAGGGGAGCUCAGAUGCAUGCAGUACACCUGAGUGAUUGGAAGGGGUGGAGCCAGGAUUCCCCCCACCCCCCCACCUUCCCGGACCUCAUUUAAGGACUGGCAGUGGGGGUAAGGGUAUUUCAUUGGAAAUCCCUGUGUACCUGAGGCCUUCCAAGGGUAGGCAGAUUUUUUUUUCCUUUUUUUUUUUUUGUGUCUACAGCUGCUGUGUUUGAGUAUAUCCUCACUUGCUGCAACCUAGGACUUAGCUACUAUGCUGCCAUUGUUGUGCUUUCCAUCAUGUUAUAACAUUAUAAUCAGUAAUCCCAGAAAUUAAACUGCAAUCCUAGGUAUUUGUCUUGAUUCCUACCUCUUGUUUAUAUGCAUAUGUGUAAAGGUGUCCAAAACUUAUGUAAGAACAAAGAAGCUUUAAGUCAUUUCACGUUAUAGGAAAUUGAUAUUUUGCUUUGGCUAUUUGAUCUGAAGUGAGUCUAGCUUUGUAAUUAGUUUUGCUUCUGGAGAUUUGUCUGCUUUGUUGUCUUUGCCUAAAGUGACCUAUAGCUCAAGACUACUCUGCUACCUGAAGAUAACUCUACUAGUAGUUACAUCUUUUUUGACCUGUGGACUUCUCUUGCCUAGUCUUCUCUAGACUUUGCAGUUACCUAUUUUAACAGGGGGCUCCCUGGGCCUCAAAAGCACUGUACUCCUGUAAUAUUUCAGCCAGAUAAUCUAUAAACACUUGCUGUUAGUGAUCAUAUCAUAGGAGAGAGUAGAAAGUUUUUCAUGGUUCCCUCAAUUACAGGUGGUUAACUGUUAUUAGCUACCUUAAAUAGUAUAUUAUAGGUCUACAGCAUAAAAGAAGUGAGAACUUUUUUUUUUUGUAUGAGAGAAAGUAAUGUGAAAGUGAAAACUAUGAUAGAGCAUAAUGUCUAUAUGGAAGGUUCUCUAUAUAAUUUUGUGGCUUUGGUGUAGAUAAGUAGUUGCGUGGAAUAAAAAACCUGAAUUCUUCUGAACUUACCAUUUAAUAAAGAAUCCACGAAAAAAGAAAAGACCCAUAAAUAAAUGAAUAGAUAGUGAGUUUCCAGUUGAAAAGAAGCAAUGAAAACCUAGAAAGAGGGUGGAAAAUGAAGAGGAUUAGGUGCCAAAAACAAGGUGCCAAUAAAAUCAGAAUUUGUUGGAUUGGAGUGAGCGAUGAUCCCUAGUUCCUCGUUAAUUCCAUAUGCAGUGCGUGUUGCCAGAGUGCUUUGGUCCUAGAUUAAUUUGCAAAGAAUUUUGAUCAACAACUUAUAUUUUCCACAAAAAAUGUCAGUGGAGAAAGGUAGAGAAGGAAACCUAUACAAAGUGGUCGUAGUAGAUGCACUGGGAUUGGAGGGCUGGUGUUUUUAGAACUAAGGAUUCUAAAAGAUCUCCUUUAGUGUAAUGAUCAGAGCGUAAGUAAUUAUUCUGUCUAUUUCUCUUACUGGUCACCAAAGAAAAUAAUUCUCUAAUUUUAACACUUAUUUGUAUACAGUACUAAUAUUAUGGAAACACUAAAUGCACUUUGGUUUUUUUUUUUUAAUAUUAAGAAACUAUGCUAUUAUCCAGCUGUAAUUAAACCAUUAGAGAGAUUUUUCAGGAUCACAGGUAAGUCAGAUAAAUAUUUUGGCUUUGGAUUUAUGGGUACAGAGUCUGUGAUCAGCAGUUGGUGUUUGGCAUGCAGCUGCCUACUCUAUCCUUUAUUAUGCACUAACUCAUUUCCUUGAUUGGGAUUUGGGGAUGAGGAAAUAAUUUCCUAAAUGAUAAGGGGGGAAAAAAAAGUAAUCUACUUCAUUCUGGUUAGCCACUGCAUUAAAAACUGUCAAAAACAUAUUGGUCUAGGUUCAUCUCUGCUGCAACUCCAUUGAUUACAGUGGAGUUAAAUCAAAGAUGAAUCUGUCUGCUCAAUUUAAAUCUAAUGAUUGGUUAAAAGUCAGAGGAGAGCCCUAUCUAAAUCUAGUGCUGUUUUAUCCUUGUGUCAGCAUUUAAUUCCAUUUGCAUAUAAGCCUAUUUCCCUUUUUCUAAAUUUAAUUUGUUAGAGCUUGGCCCUCAGCAACAACAGCAACAACAAAGUAAUUGCAUACAGUAUUGGGCAGUGGUGCCAAUACAGCAUGAGCUAUAAAAAUGUCUCACGCAAAUUUAUAAAACAUAGUCAUUAGUCUGUUUGGUAACAGCAGAAUCUAGAUGUCUGGGAAAAAAAAAAGUCAAGCUACUUCAAGGACAUGUGACAUUUAAGAAUAUACAUACGAAGAAGCAUUUUUUUUUUUUAAAUAACCGCUAUUAGUUGUGGCCAUUUCACCAAAGGAAAUGGAGUAUC
rnacentral:lncRNA from 1 species